rnacentral:rRNA from 1 species
GGGGGCUUGCUCCCGGGUUAGUGGCGAACGGGUGAGUAAUAUAUCGGAACAUAUCCGGAAGUGGGGGAUAACGUAGCGAAAGUUACGCUAAUACCGCAUAUGCCCUGAGGGGGAAAGGGGGGGAUCGCAAGACCUCUCGCUUUCGGAGUGGCCGAUACCGGAUUAGCUAGAUGGUGAGGUAAAGGCUCACCAUGGCGACGAUCCGUAGCUGGUCUGAGAGGACGACCAGCCACACUGGAACUGAGACACGGUCCAGACUCCUACGGGAGGCAGCAGUGGGGAAUUUUGGACAAUGGGCGAAAGCCUGAUCCAGCCAUACCGCGUGAGUGAAGAAGGCCUUCGGGUUGUAAAGCUCUUUCAGCCGGAAAGAAAUCGCACUUUUUAAUACGGAGUGUGGAUGACGGUACCGGAAGAAGAAGCACCGGCUAACUACGUGCCAGCAGCCGCGGUAAUACGUAGGGUGCGAGCGUUAAUCGGAAUUACUGGGCGUAAAGCGUGCGCAGGCGGUUUGAUAGGCCAGAUGUGAAAUCCCCGGGCUUAACCUGGGAACUGCAUUUGGAACUGUCAGACUAGAGUGUAGCAGAGGGGGGUAGAAUUCCACGUGUAGCAGUGAAAUGCGUAGAUAUGUGGAGGAAUACCAAUGGCGAAAGCAGCCCCCUGGGUUAACACUGACGCUCAUGCACGAAAGCGUGGGGAGCAAACAGGAUUAGAUACCCUGGUAGUCCACACCCUAAACGAUGUCAACUAGUUGUUGGGGGAGAGACUUCCUUAGUAACGCAGCUAACGCGUGAAGUUGACCGCUGGGGAGUACGUUCGCAAGAUUUAAACUCAAAGGAAUUGACGGGGACCCG